UUUGACCUCAGAUCAGGCAAGACUACCCGCUGAAUUUAAGCAUAUUAAUAAGCGGAGGAAAAGAAACUAACAAGGAUUCCCUCAGUAACGGCGAGUGAAGUGGGAAUGGCUCAAGCUUGAAAUCUCUGUUGCUUGCAACAGCGAAUUGUAGUCUCGAGAAGCGUUUUCCCGGCGGAUCUAUCCUGCCUAAGUUGCUUGGAACAGCACAUCAGAGAGGGUGACAAUCCCGUUUGUGGCAGGGCAGACCGUUCAUGAUACGCUUUCCAUGAGUCGGGUUGCUUGGGAAUGCAGCCCAAAAUUGGUGGUAAACUCC
rnacentral:rRNA from 2 species